rnacentral:lncRNA from 10 species
CCGUGCGCUCCCCGGCCACCGUCGCUCUGCCCUCGGCUCUCUGGGGCCGGGGAUUCCGGAUCGGGAGCCGGGAUGCGGGCCGGGGCGCGCACAGACGCUAGGCGGCCCAGCCCGGGCGCCGCUGGCACCGGCUCGCGGCUCCCGGCAAAAACCCGUCCGACUGGCUGGGCCACUCCCGCCUGACGCCCCCCCAGAUGACACGACUAGCUCUCCCGGCGUGCUGCCUUUGCCAGUCUACCCGCCAGGUUGUCAGAACAAGCGGCACCUCGCCUCCUGCGUGUCCCUACAGAGCCCCGGCACAAUCAGACUGCCCCAAGCCAGCUCCGAAACCCGAAAUCCCCGCUCCGGCGCUUGCCCACCACGGCCAAAGUUGUGGAAACAGCUUUGACUUUAUUCUCCUCUCUCUCUCAUCUUUUUUUGCCUCGCUUACACACGCAUUCACACUUGCCCCCACAGGAUCCCUCUAGGGGUGCAAGUUCAUCCCCCACCUAGCCACCCACCCCAUCCAGUCGGCACCUAGAGCCGCACGGAGGUUCGGACCCCGCCCGCCGAGGGCGCCCACACCUGGAGCUGGGUUUCGGCCUCUGCGAAAGUGAAAUGCCCAAGCCUCCGGCCAAAGCCCAGACCAGUACAGUAUGAAUUGUCCUAUGAGACUGAGGGGUUCGGCUUCAUUCCUACCUGCCCGCAAAGCUCGCCCCCAGCCUCGAAAACAAAGCGACUGGUCUGACGUGGGGUCCCUGCGCCCCUCCUCUAGCGCGACAGGACCCCCCCAGGGAAGAGCCAGUACCCGUGGGAUGUCACCCCGUCCCCAUCUACCGGGGUGGGGGGCCUGAAAGGAGAACGAUUUAAAAUAAUCUUCAGAAAGAAAAGGGAGGAGGGAGCGGGUGACACAUCGUUCACAUAAACCCAAUUUCUGGUUUCGAGUGAAGUCAAGAUCUCCGCCCCUGCGCCUGCACACACACCUCCUGCCUAACAUUCUCAGCUGCAAAUGCCAAAAAAGAAAAAAAAAAAAAACAGCAAAAGUUGGGACUGCCACCUAUUUAUUUAGGCACAGCCAAAAUUGGUCAGAAAGGGGAGUAAAGUGGGACACGAGCUUCAAAGUAGGGAAACCAAAGAAGGGAGCAUCCACGUCCUCUCUCUGCAGCUUCUCCCCCGCGUUCUUCGGGCGAAUCCGAGGGACGGGCGCUGCGCUGGGGAAAGUUUGUCCCACCCGCGUUUCGCAGCUGGUUGCAAGGAGAGGAGGAGGAGAGGGAGGGUCAAGCUCGGAGCCUGUGACCGCACGGAUGAUCGAGCCGGCGUCGCGCUUACCUCGCAGUCCUCGUACUUGAUAUUAUCCGUCAAUUUCCAAAGCAUUUUCAUGGAUCGGCGUGAACGGAUAUGCCCCUCUCGGUCUCGCACCCAAGUGGAGCUACUCUCUGGCUCUUUACCAACAGCCUAAUCGCCUCAUUAGCAUAUCAACAAUAGUCCAAUUGCUCGCCAGUACCACAAUCUGCCGCCGGCCGCUCCGACACAGGCUAAGGUUUCCUGGGUGCAACGUGGACACGAAUACAGAACUCCUAUGGAACUGCACACCCGCUUCUGAAGUUGAGCCUAAAAACAGACGUGUGUGUGCCUGCAAGUCUAGAUACCGUCUCGUGCGUGCAUCAAAAUAAAUCACCGGGAACCGACUUUUAGCUGUGUUAAUCUGCUCUAGUUUUCCCAAGAUUCCCCUUUUUAAUUAAAGCAGGGAGAGUUCCUUCAUGAUUUGGUGAUGCUACUAACGCGGGCGUGCUCGCGAGGCAGAGCCCGGCUGCCGCGGAACCUGGAGGCCUGGGAGCCACCUACUCGUCCAGACUGGUCAGUCCGGGCUUUUGGACUCCUCACCGGGGCCUGCUGGGUCCUCUGGGGCUUUUAUCCCUUUCGGUUUUGGGAUUUUUUUUUAAGUAAGAAAAAAAAAAAAGAAAAGGACCUAAUGUGACACUAGGAAAUACAGAGUAAUUAAUUUUCCUGGCUGAGCUUCCUCGUUUGUCCUCCAAAAGAAAGUUACCUCUGUCUUUUCUCUCUGCUAUAUGUACAAACUCCUUAACUACACUAGGUCCCGCCUCAGAGUUGCUCUAGUAAGGACCUUUGAUUCAUCUGGGCUUGUUUCUCGAAAAUCUCCAGGCCUCCCAUAUUUCCACCGGG